GUGUGUGUGUGCUUGGUAAUUAGGAUUUGAAGAAUGUCAAAGAAAAGAAAACUGGACAUAAGACACUUCUUUAGGAGUCAAAGUGCAAGUUAGUUCGAGGGUAUAGAACUGUAAAGGCUCAACAAUACAGAUACUGAAUAAAGGACACUAUUUAAUGCCAAACACAUACACUUUUUAAAACAGAUGUUGUCCAGGUGAAUGAACAUUGUUGUAACUC